rnacentral:sRNA from 1 species
UUGAGUACCUCCUGUAUGCCAGGCACUGUGCUGGGUACUGAGGAUACAGCAGUUGGCAGUGAACAAAAUCCCUGUUCUCAUGGAGCUGCCACUUCAAUGGGAAGAGACAAGAAACAAAAUGAAGUGGGGAAAGCCAUCUCUGCUGAGUGUCAAUAAGUGUUAAGUAAUGGGGACAGAAAAGCAAAGAUCAGGGAGUGUUGUGGUGGGGUGGAUCUGAAUAACGUAGUCAGCAAAGGCCUCCCUGGGAGGGUGAGGUUUAUGCAAGACCAGAAGAGGUGACGAAGGAAGCCAUGUGGGGACUCAGGAAGAAUGUUCCUAGCAGAGGGAACAGCGGUGCAGAGGCUUCGAGGAAGUGUUUCUGGCCAUGGUGAGGCCUUUGUCCUUUAUCCUGAAUGAGAGGGAACCACAGGAAGCUGCUACGGAAGAGGCACAUAGGAAAUGACAUCGUGACGAUCAUCUUCCAGGAGCCUGGCGCGCUACCGUUCACCCCCAAGAACAUCCGCUCCCACUUCCAGCACGUCUUCAUCAUUGUCCGAGUCCACAACC